UACGUAGGGUGCAAGCGUUAAUCGGAAUUACUGGGCGUAAAGCGUGCGCAGGCGGUUUCGUAAGUCUGUCGUGAAAUCCCCGGGCUUAACCUGGGAAUUGCGAUGGAGACUGCGAGGCUAGAGUUUGGCAGAGGGGGGUAGAAUUCCACGUGUAGCAGUGAAAUGCGUAGAGAUGCGGAGGAACACCGAUGGCGAAGGCAGCCCCCUGGGCUAGCACUGACGCUCAGGCACGAAAGCGUGGGGAGCAAACAGG
rnacentral:rRNA from 1 species